GCUUCAACGUCACCACGGAAAGAAGGGAGAUAACUGUUAUAUAGGAAAAUAUUGAAACAGUAAAUUGCGUCCUAACCAAGUUUUUGCUUCAGUGUGAAACCAUUGGAUUAACAAACCUCGACAUUCACUUACAUAUAUUAUAUCAUGGCCAGUGCAAGUGGUGAGAUAUCCAGUGACAAGUUAAUAGAUUUAAGGGUCGUGGAUCUCCGCAGUGAACUGGAGAAACGAGGUCUGGACAAAACUGGAGUAAAGGCCGUGUUGUUGGAACGUCUGGAAAAGGCUCUGAAAAGUGAAGAAAAUCAUAAAGAUACCAAAGGAAGUGAAGAGAAAUCAGAUAAUUUAGCUACGUUGGUAAACAUUGAGGCUUUCUGUGAAGAGAAAUAUCUGGAAGAAAAUCAAUCUACUGAAGAUAUUAUUAAAAACGAACAUACUACAAUCAACAUGGAUGAGAAAGAAUCAGAGACGUCUAAUGUGGCAUUAACAGAUGUCUUCUUAAACACCACCAAUCCAGAUGGGUAUUCUUUGAUCCCUGACAAAACUUCUGUGGGAGACCUUACAGAGGAUCGACUGCUUUCGAGUGAUACCAAACCAUCAGAUAUGUUGACAGAUAAUACCUUUGAUAAAGACCAGUUUGAAGAACUACCUAUCUCUUUAGAUACGGACAAAGACACUUGUACUGUUCUGCAGGAAGGACCUGAUGAAACAAUAAUGGAUACCACAGUUCUUCAGCUUCUAAACCCAAAGUUAUCAAGAAUAUCAGAAGCAAUGACCAAAGCAAUCGGAAUCUGUGGAUCAGUGGUCUUGCCACAAGUACCCGUGCUACAGACCUUAAAGUGCUUUUUACCAAAUAUGGCAAGGUUGUUGGUGCCAAAGUAGUAACAAAUGCACGAAGCCCUGGUGCUCGAUGUUAUGGUUUUGUAACUAUGUCUUCUUCACAUGAAGCUUCUAAAUGUAUUCAACAUUUGAAUCAGACCGAACUGCAUGGCCAGAUGAUAUCAGUUGAAAGGGCUAGAAAAGAACCUAACACUAACGCACCAGUAUCAAAACCAGGAGAAAAGAAAGUAGAAAAGGCUGAAGUAAAGAAAGAUG